rnacentral:rRNA from 1 species
AUUGAACGCUGGCGGCAGGCCUAACACAUGUAAGUCGAGCGGAGCGGCGGACGGGUGCGUAAUGCCUAGGUAUCUGCUUGGUAGUGGGGGAUAACGUCCGGAAAUGGGCGCUAAUACCGCAUACUAUCAGAUGAGCCUAGGUCGGCUUAGCUAGGGGGUGGGGUAAAGGCCUACCAAGGCGACGAUCCGUAACUGGUCUGAGAGGAUGAUCAGUCACACUGGAACUGAGACACGGUCCAGACUCCUACGGGAGGCAGCAGUGGGGAAUAUUGGACAAUGGGCGAAAGCCUGAUCCAGCCAUGCCGCGUGUGUGAAGAAGGUCUUCGGAUUGUAAAGCACUUUAAGUUGGGAGGCGUUACCAACAGAAUAAGCACCGGCUAACUUCGUGCCAGCAGCCGCGGUAAUAC